rnacentral:rRNA from 1 species
GAGUAAUACGUAGGAAUUUGCCAUAAAGAGAGGGAUAACCACAGAAACUGUGGCUAAGACCUUAUAAAACUCUGAGGAGGAAAAUACGGGACUCGAAAGAGACGUAUGCUUAAUGAGAAGCCUACGGUGGAUUAGCUAGUUGGUUGGGUAAAGGCUGACCAAGGCGAUGAUCCAUAGCUGGUUUGAGAGGACGGCCAGCCACACUGGAACUGAGAGACGGACCAGACUCCUACGGGAGGCAGCAGUGGGGAAUAUUGGACAAUGGGGGUAACCCUGAUCCAGCGAUGCCGCGUGUGUGAAGAAGGUCUACGGAUUGUAAAGCACUUUAGUUGAGGACGAGGGGCUCAUAUUGAAAAKAUGUGACGAGGAGACGGUACUCAAAGAAUAAGCACCGGCCAACUCUGUGCCAGCAGCCGCGGUAAGACAGAGGGUGCAAGCGUUAAUCGGAAUGACUGGGCGUAAAGGGCGCGUAGGCGGUAACUGAAUGUUGGAUGUGAAAUACAUAGGCUUAACCUAUGGGUGAGAUCCAGAACUGAGAUACUAGAGGCCAGAAGAGGGGAGCGGAAUUUCCAGUGUAGCGGUGAAAUGCGUAGAGAUUGGAAAGAACACCGGUGGCGAAGGCGGCUCUCUGGGCUGGAACUGACGCUGAGGCGCGAGAGCAUGGGGAGCAAACAGGAUUAGAUACCCUGGUAGUCCAUGCGGUAAACGAUGAAGAUUAGCUGUUGCUUGAGAAGAGCAGUAGCGAAGUAAACACGAUAAAUCUUCCGCCUGGGGAGUACGACCGCAAGGUUAAAACUCAAAGGAAUUGACGGGGGUCCGCACAAGCGGUGGAGUAUGUGGUUUAAUUCGAUGCAACACGAAGAACCUUACCUACUUUUGACAUCCUAUGAAUUGGCCUUUAGAGAUAAGUGAGUGCCUGAAAAGGAGCAAUAGAGACAGGUGCUGCAUGGCUGUCGUCAGCUCGUGUCGUGAGAUGUUGGGUUAAGUCCCGUAACGAGCGCAACCCUUGUUCUUUAGUUACCACUAGAUAGUAGGGGACUCUAAGAAGACUGCCAGUGAAAAGCUGGAGGAAGGUGGGGAUGACGUCAAGUCAUCAUGGCCUAUAUAAGUAGGGCCACACACGUGCUACAAUGGGUAGUACAAAGGGAAGCGAACCCGCGAGGGGAAGCGGAACUCAGAAAGCUACUCGUAAUCCGGAUUGGAGUCU